GACUACCUAUAUUAAAAGACAAGACUCCGAGAUGACAAUGGAAAACUGUUGUUGUGUUUAUAUCUUUUUGUUACCUAUUGCUCUGGGUGUGUUGAGCCAAGAAACUGUAACACAGACAAGUAAGAUCUGUGCAGUUGAGGGUGAAAAUGUAUAUUUCCAUUGCAAGCCAAGAUCAGGUGAUAAUUAUAUCUAUUGGUACAAACAGGCACCUAUGCAAGCACCGUAUCUUGUUAUAGAUACGUAUUACAAUUCAAAGUCUGAGGAUCGAUUUACUCUGACAAAAAACAACAGCAACUCCUGGAUAUUCAGCAUCAGGGAGGUGACACUGCACGAGACAGCCACACACUUCUGUGCAACAAGUGGCACCGUAGUAGAGGUGAAUGGAAUUGUAAAACAAAAACUUUGUCAUUCUCUGAUACCAAAAUACAUCAACACAAGAGAAAAGGUGAUUUACAGAACUUUGUUAUAUUAUUAUGUGUGUUUUUUUCUAAUUAAUCAACACAUUAAAUACGUUUUGGUGGAAGCAAGAUGACACCUAAAUGUGCUUUUGUCAUAGACAUCUGGUAAAAUACAUCAUUUAGUCAGACUGUGUUCUUGAACCCCAGAACUCUUGAAUUUUUUGUAAUGAAUGUAUUCUAGUUGUUUUACAUAUUGUAGUAACUGAUA